rnacentral:rRNA from 1 species
UACAGAGGGUGCAAGCGUUAAUCGGAAUUACUGGGCGUAAAGCGCGCGUAGGUGGUUUGUUAAGUUGGAUGUGAAAUCCCCGGGCUCAACCUGGGAACUGCAUUCAAAGCUGACAAGCUAGAGUAUGGUAGAGGGUGGUGGAAUUUCCUGUGUAGCGGUGAAAUGCGUAGAUAUAGGAAGGAACACCAGUGGCGAAGGCGACCACCUGGACUGAUACUGACACUGAGGUGCGAAAGCGUGGGGAGCAAACAGG